GUGGAGUUUGUGGAGUCUCUUCGAUAUGGAAUCUUAUUUGCAAAUGAAGACACACUUUGGCUUCUUCCUCUUUUGUCACCUCCUUCACUUGUCGUAUUGCUCCAGCUAAGACUUUACCUGCGGGAUUGAGGGGCGAGAGUGUGCACAUCCUUGCCUGGUUCUGACUUCAGUGGGAAUGCCUCGAGUUUCCUCUGUUUAGCUGGGUGCCAGCUGUGGGCACGCUGUGUGUUGCCUUUAUUAUGUCAGGAUAUGUCAGAGAGUCUAGGACUUUGAUCAGGAAGGUAUGUUAAAUUUGUCAAAGGCCUUUCUACAUCUAAUAGGGUGACAUGUGUUUUCUGUCUCUUAAUCUGUUAUAUGGUGGAUUGCAAUUACUGACCUACAUAGGUCGAACCAUCCCUGCUUCUCUGGGGUGAAACUGACUUGAUCAUGGUGGAUGAUCUUUUUCACUUUUCUUGAAUUUGGUCUGCAAGUAUUUUACUGAGGACUUUUGCAUCCAUGUUCAUCAGAAAUAAUUGGGCUAUAAUUUUUAUUUAUUUGUUAUUUUUGGAUCUUUGUCUGGUUUUAUACCUUUGUAAAAAGAAUUUGAAAGUGUCCCUUUUGUACUUUACACAUGAUUUGGGGAGUAUUAAUAGUUUGAAAGUCUGUGAAUUCUGCACUGAAUCCAUCUGUUCCUAGGCUGGGGCAUCUGUCCAUCUAUCUAUCUAUCUAUCUGUCUGUCUGUCUAUCUAUCUAUCUAUCUAUCUAUCUAUCUGGGUUUUCAAAACAGGAUUUCUGUGUGUGUGUAGGCUGUCCUGGAACUCACUCUGUAGACCAGGCUGGCCUCAAACUCAAAGAUCUGCCUGACUUUGCCUCCUGAGUGCUAGGAUCAAAGGCAUGCACCACCACUGCCUGCCUAAGAGAUUUUUUUUAAAAAAGGAUUUUAUUUAUUUUAUGUGUAUACACAUAUACACAUAAUACACAUAUACACCUAUAGGUGGUUUUGCCCGAAUCACCUGCAUGCAAUGCCUAUGGAGGCCAGAAGAUGGCGUUGGAUUCCUUGGAAUUAGAGUUAUAUAUAGUUGCGUCUUGUAAGUACUAAGGAUUAAAUUAAGGCCUCUGGAAUAACUGUUGAGCUAUCUCUCCAGACACUAGUUGGGGGAUUUUAAGUUCUGGCUAUAUUCCAUUGAAUGCCAUGGGUCUAUUUAAACUAUUUCAUCUUGAUUUAGCUUUGGUAGGCAAUUAUAUGUCUAGAAAUGAAUCCUUUGAGACUUUUGAGUUUGGUGGAAAGUAGAUUUUUAGAAAGCAUGUCUUUAUGAUUUCCUGCAUUUCCUCAGUGUCUGUGGCAAUGUCUCCCCACAUGUCUCUAAUUUUAUUAAAUUUCUUCUCUCUUUUAGUUAAUUUUGUUAAAAGUUUGUGAAUCGUGUUAAUCCUUCAAAGCACCAUCGGUGCUAGCUAAUCUUGAUUGUCAAUGUGGCUACAUCUGGAAUCAACCAAAAAAGCAGCCGGCAACACCUGUGAGGGAUUUUGUUGAUAGGACAAUUAAAGUGGGAAGACGCACCCUAAAUCUGGGCCACACCUUCUGGUGGCAGCCCCCAUGAAAGGGCAUGGAAGAAGGAAGCUUUUGCCUUCCUGCCCUCAUAAGUGCAUCUUUCCUGCUGCUGAGGCAUUUCCUCACUAGUAUUAAAACCUACUUCUUUGGGGCUGGAGAGGUGGAUCAGCAGUUAAGAGUAAUGGCUGCUCUUCAGAGGUUCUGAGUUCAAUUCCUAGUAACCACAUAGUGGCUCACAACCAUCUAUAAUGAAAUCUGAUGCCCUCUUCUAGGAUGAAGGCAUACAUGCAGAUAGCACUUACAGACAUAAAUAAAUCUUUAAAAAAAAAAAAAACCAAACUGUUUCUUCAAGAUUCCAUUGUAGCCUGAAGCCCAGCUGAGCCGUCCAGCCUUGUAGACUGAACAGUUGCUAGAUUCUUGGACUUUCCAUUAGAGACAGACAGCCAUUGUUGGAGUAGCAGCUAAACCACAGCCUGUAAGCCUGUCCAAUAAAGUGUGUGUGUGUGUGUGUGCUUUUAAAGAACCCGGACUAAUACAGUCUCCACCUUAAUUCCUGUUCUGUCCAGUGGUACAGUAAUCCUUCCUGGAGAAGGGUCAGCCCAUAAGAAUGAAAAGCUCUUAGUUGUGUCUGAGGAGAUUUAUUUUGUUUUGGAAUAGAGGGUGGAAAAUUCCAUCCCUAAAAGUGUUAGUGAUAACAAAAGACUGUUUGUUUUUGAUAAGAGAUUAAAGGGCACUGGGAAGAUGUUUGCUUUGGAAGCAUGAAGACCUGAGCUCCAUCCCCAAAUAACAUGUACUACUGAGGAGACAGGAACAGGUAGAUCCCUCAGGUUUGUUGGUCAGCUAGCUUAGACUAAUAGGCAAGUACCAGGGCAAUGAAAAACAUGUCUAAAAAAAGAAGAAGAAAAAAGUGGCGGACAGGACCUAAAGGGUAAUAUCUGAGGUUGUUCCCUGACCCACCCCACACACACACACAUGUGCCCCUAUGUACAUGUGAGCACAUACACAAAAAGAACUUGGUGCCUCCAUGAUAGCAACAAGAAAAUGACAAAGCACUCAGAAAUAUAACAUCUAGAAAAGGAGACGGUCUAGAAAGAACCUCGCUGGGAGGCUGGAAGUAGAUGUUGGGCUUCACAUACACAGACGCAGCCAUAGGAUGUUACCGUUCUAGAAGCAUUUUUCAGUGCCUCCGGGUUCUCUGAAGGAACAGGGUGGACAAUAAAUAUACAGGAAGGAGGGAUUUAUUAGACUGGACUCUAUGAUGUGGUCUAGGUGGUCAACAACAGCUGCUGCUUACCAGAGAGUCUGAGGAUCAGGCGGUUGCUGAGUCCAAGAGUCUGGAUGCCUCAACCUGAAGCAGCUUAUCUGAUCUUGGGAAUUGGCAGCAGUAACAACAGAGACCAACUUGUCAGAGAGUAGAGGAAAGUGAAACUUACCUCUGAGUUCCUUUAUCAGGCCUGCCAACAAAAGGCACCUCAAAUAAUCUGGUCAAGAAAAGUUCAGCAGCUUCUAGUUGGUUUCUGGUUCACUUGACAACCAAGGUUAGCCAUCACAAGUCUACCUCUUGUCAACAUGACAUCUGAUCACUUCUUAUAUCCUGCUAUAUUUCCAAAUGCAAUUAACUAUAAGGUCUUAAUUCUGCCUAACAUGAUAUAAUGAUCUCAUGGACAACCUCAAAUGUAUUAUUCCAGACAGCAAAGUCCUUAGAUAUUUGGUCUUUCUAUAUCUCAUAACUUAAAUUUGAUAAUACAUAUUUCCAGUACUUAAUCACUGAUAUUAGCAAUCAGUGUCAUUGUAAACAAGC
rnacentral:lncRNA from 1 species